rnacentral:rRNA from 1 species
UACGAAGGGGGCUAGCGUUGCUCGGAAUUACUGGGCGUAAAGGGCGCGUAGGCGGCUUGGUCAGUCAGGCGUGAAAUUCCUGGGCUCAACCUGGGGACUGCGCUUGAUACGGCCAGGCUUGAGGGCGAGAGAGGGUGGUGGAAUUCCCAGUGUAGAGGUGAAAUUCGUAGAUAUUGGGAAGAACACCGGUGGCGAAGGCGACCACCUGGCUCGGUACUGACGCUGAGGCGCGACAGCGUGGGGAGCAAACAGG